rnacentral:rRNA from 1 species
AGCAGCCGCGGUAAUUCCAGCUCCAAUAGCGUAUAUUAAAGUUGUUGCAGUUAAAAAGCUCGUAGUUGAAUUUCGGGAUUGACGUGAUGGUCGUGCCUUACGGGGUAUGAACUGUUGCAGUCAAUUUCUCACCUUCUGGAGAAAUAUGAUGUCCUUAAUUGGGUGUCAUAUGGAACCAGAACUUUUACCUUGAAAAAAUUAGAGUGUUUAAAGCAGGCUUAUUGCUCGAAUACAUUAGCAUGGAAUAAUAAAAUAGGACGGCAUGGUUCUAUUUUGUUGGUUUCUAGGAUCACCGUAAUGAUUAAUAGGGAUAGUUGGGGGCAUUAGUAUUCAAUUGUCAGAGGUGAAAUUCUUGGAUUUAUUGAAGACUAACUACUGCGAAAGCAUUUGCCAAGGAUGUUUUCAUUAAUCAAGAACGAAAGUUAGGGGAUCGAAGACGAUCAGAUACCGUCGUAGUCUUAACCAUAAACUAUGCCGACAAGGAAUCAGACGAUGUUAAUUUUUAAUGAC